rnacentral:lncRNA from 1 species
UCCGCACAGCGACGACGAGAUUUCCACAGCAAUGAGACCGAGACCCGAAGAAGCAAAGUCGGCUUUUGCCCAAGAUCAGGCUGCACAGUCGCUGGGAGAGACAGAGGAGCGGGGGAAGCUAUCACUGGCACAAACUCCACCCUUGUAAACUUUUCCACCAUAAUCCCAGAAGGAGAGAAUCUUACUGCCUGCUACGAAGCUGCUCUGAGAAACCCAUGUGCUGCCUUGGGUGGCUUAGUCCACGAUGAAACCAAGAAGCCUCAGCCACUCGCUCACUGCCCAGAGACAAACACUGCAGUGUACUCCGUGCCCCUUUGGAGCUCCGUUUGGCUCUCCCACCCUGUGGCCUUUCAUACCCCACCCUUGCAUUCUCUUUCCAGGUUCCCCAAGGCCCCCCAGUUUCCAGGAAUUCCCCUCAGCCUGUGGUCCCCUGUGGGGAGCAGCCCGGACUGGACUGAGUUACUGGAAUUAAGACUUAUUCUAUGCAUCUGCUCUCCCACAAUAUGGCGCUGGGAGAGAAGUAAACAGCUUCCGCACAGCUGCCUCCAGUUCAACCAAUAAACUGUAGGACUUGCUCCUGAUUGGAGGAGAGCAGCGUACUCGGCGUGUGGGCAGCCGAGUUGGGAUUGGCAGAGGAGGACUAUAAAGGAGGAGAGAGACGGCAUGCACCAGGAACAUCUAAGGGGAACAUCUAAGGGAACACCUGUGCAGCCCCCGAGAGAGCCGGCCGGCGGUGUGCCGCUCCCCUGCGGAAGUGGGGAAUGUGGCCAGGGGGAACCGCCCUUCCACGGAGGUGGAAGGGAUAGUAGCCAACCCGGGAAGAACCAGCAGCAAACCCGGGGAGGGCCGAGCAAACCAAAGAACAGCGCAGGGUCCUGUGUCGUUCCUCCACGAAGAGGGGGAGCGACAUAAUGGUGCCGUGACUCGGAUAGGAAACCUAGGCAGGGUUUAGUGUCGUUCCCCCAUGAAGACGGGGAGUGACAGUCCCCUACCCCCACCCCCACCCCCUGCCCACCUAAAAUAUAAAAAGGCCUGGCCCCUGGGGGUCAGGGCCUUCUGCCUUGUGUUCCAUCAAUGUGCACCUGGCUAGUUGGUCUCCCACCUCUACGAAUUUAUUGUUUCUGAAUAAAUUCGGUCUGGCUGUAAAUUCGUGCA